UACUUCUUAAAUACACAUAUUUAAUCCCUGCUCCCUCCUUCCCAAAAGUCUAGCUUAAUGCCAUUACACAUUUUUCAUGCUUUGUUAUUGUUUAUCUGUCUCCCUAUAUGUUUGUUUUAAGGUAUAAAUACACAAAGAAAAUACAAAGGAGCUAAGAGCAAAAAAAUUUGGAAAAUGGAAAGCAACUGGGUUCGUAGUAAUAGACUCAGCAGAAUUAUAAAUAUGAGAACAAAGGAGAUCCUACAGUUUGCAGAGAAGAAGGAGAAGGAUUCCUCAUUGCCCGAGCCAUGGAAAAGAUGGCAGAAGGCACCUCUUACAGCUCAAUAAGGUCUUGGGCUGAAAAAGUUGUAGAGGAUUGCUGUGUGGACCCUGCUGUCCUUCACAUGGACAUCCAGACCUGACCCUCCAUCUCACAUCUCCCAGCUCCACAAGGUCAUUGCUCCUCCUCCCCUGAACCAUACCUCGGCCACAAGUCCGAUAGAUAACUCUUUCAAAAAAUUUCUUGUGUUGGCAUAAUGUUUAUGCCUCACCUCUCUCAAGCUUGCCUUCUGACUGCUGGGUCACAAAAGCCCGUGUUGGAGGUUGAAAACAAAAUGGAAAAGAAAAGCUCACCCCACCUGCUGUUUCUUACCCUUUCAUUCCUGCUUCCCCCAGACUUAGUGUGAAAACCACUGAGGAAAGGUCACAUGCAAGGAAGCAGAGAAAAGGAAAGCAUGCUGAUUCAUAUUCCAAAAUACCAUCACACUAAUUAAUCACCGUCUGCCCCUCAGUGACUUCGAGCUGCUUGAGGGCAGAAGUGCCACUCCUGAUACCGCCGGCACCCCACUUCUCAGGACCACUUCAGGCACAGCUGCGCAGCCUCAGAACUACUCCCUAAAUGGAUACACAUGUGAGCUAUCAUUAUUUUUGAUUAUCAGAUAUGGAGAAAUUUGGCUGCAACAAAUGGUGUUCUUAACAACUUCCAACGGUGCAAAGUUUCGAUCAAGCAAAAAAAAAAGCUCUACUUCUCAGUAGAAUACUGGAGUACUUCGUGUAAACUGCUGAAUUAAACAGAUUUAUGAUAGUUCUGCAAAAGUAAAAGUUUACAAGGUGUUUUAAAGAAACUGAUAUCACAGGCCAUAUAAUUUCCACAAGCAUUUCAAUGUGAGACUGUAAUUUCUCUGCAUCUGAUGGUGAUGUAAGUGCAGGCGUCAAACAUUCAGCCCUCCACCCUCAGUCAAAUGGGAUGACCAAUAGAUAUAAAAUUAGGGAAAAACCUGCAACAGCACUGGAAAAUAGGAAGGAUGCCAUGCAUAUGCCUGACACGUUAGGGCAUGUGUAUUUCAUA
rnacentral:lncRNA from 1 species